rnacentral:rRNA from 1 species
GGAGGCAGCNAGUGAGGAAUAUUGGMCAAUGGGCGAGAGCCUGAUCCAGCCAUGCCGCGUGCAGGAAGACUGCCCUAUGGGUUGUAAACUGCUUUUACAGAGGAAGAACCACCNCCCACGUGUGGGGGUUUGACGGUACUCUGCGAAUAAGGAUCGGCUAACUCCGUGCCAGCAGCCGCGGUAAUACGGAGGAUCCAAGCGUUAUCCGGAAUCAUUGGGUUUAAAGGGUCCGUAGGCGGGCAGUUAAGUCAGUGGUGAAAGUCUUCCGCUCAACGGGAGAACUGCCAUUGAUACUGAUUGUCUUGAGUUAUUAUGAAGUGGUUAGAAUGAGUAGUGUAGCGGUGAAAUGCAUAGAUAUUACUCAGAAUACCGAUUGCGAAGGCAGAUCACUAAUAAUAUACUGACGCUGAUGGACGAAAGCGUAGGUAGCGAACAGGAUUAGAUACCCUGGUAGUCUACGCCGUAAACGAUGGUUACUAGCUGUUCGGAUCGAUUGAGAUCUGAGUGGUUAAGCGAAAGUGAUAAGUAACCCACCUNGGGGAGUACGUUCGCAAGAAUGAAACUCAAAGGAAUUGACGGNGGGCCCGCACAAGCGGUGGAGCAUGUGGUUUAAUUCGAUGAUACGCGAGGAACCUUACCAGGGCUUAAAUGUAGUCUGACAGGAGUGGAAACACUNUUUUUCUUCGGACAGAUUACAAGGUGCUGCAUNGGUUGUCGUCAGCUCGUGCCGUGNAGGUGUCAGGNUUAAGUCCUAUAACGAGCGCAACCCCUNGKGGUUAGUUGCC